UACAGAGGUGGCAAGCGUUGUUCGGAAUUACUGGGCGUAAAGGGCGCGUAGGCGGUUCGUUAAGUCCUGUGUGAAAUCCCCCGGCUCAACUGGGGAACUGCACAGGAAACUAGCGGGCUUGAGUUCGGGAGAGGGAAGCGGAAUUCCGGGUGUAGCGGUGAAAUGCGUAGAUAUCCGGAGGAACACCAAUUGCGAAGGCAGCUCGCUGGGACGUUACUGACGCUGAGACGCGAAGCGUGGGGAGCAAACAGG
rnacentral:rRNA from 1 species